CCGCUGCCUUGGAAACGCGGUGCGCGUGCUCCCGGCGGGAGCUGCGGUGCAGGGGCGGGGUCUCGCGGCGGGGGAAGGGGCUGCUCUGGGCUCCAGAUGCUGUGCGCCGGGAGGCUGGGCGGGCUCGGAAGCCGGGCAGCGCCUCUAUGGCCCGGGCGAGCGGGCUCGAGGGGCCUCGGAGCCAGGAUCCGCGCCCGAGGGGUCAGCACCAGCUGGUUCCCGGUGGGCGCCGCCUUCAAUGUCAAGCCCCAGGGCCGCCGCCUGGACCUGUUCGGCGAGCGCCGGGGUCUUUUUGGAGUUCCUGAGCUCAGCGCCCCAGAAGGAUUUCGGGUCGCCCAAGAAAAUGCCUUGAGGAAGGCAGACUUGCUUGUGGAGCGCGUGUGUUCCGUGGCACCUGGGCCCCAGACUGUGCUCAUUUUCGACGAGCUCUCUGAUUCCUUGUGCAGGGUGGCCGACUUGGCCGAUUUUGUGAAAAUCGCCCACCCCGAGCCCGCGUUCCGAGAGGCGGCGGAGGAAGCCUGUACAAGCAUCGGCACCGCGGUGGAAAAGUUGAACACAAAUGUGGAAUUAUAUCGAAGUCUGCAAAAAUUGCUAGCUGACAAAAAACUUGUGGAUUCCCUUGAUCCAGAAACCAGGCGAGUGGCUGAACUGUUUAUGUUUGAUUUUGAAAUCAGCGGAAUCCACCUAGACAAAGAGAAGCGUAAGAGAGCAGUGGACCUGAAUGUUAAAAUCUUGGAUUUGAGUAAUACAUUUCUCAUGGGAACUAACUUUCCCAACAAGAUUGAGAAGCAUCUCUUGCCAGAACACAUUCGUCAAAACUUUGUAGUCGCUGGAAAUCACGUGAUAGUUGAUGGUCUACAUGCAGAAUCUCCAGAUGACUUGGUGCGAGAAGCCGCUUAUAAAAUUUUUCUUUAUCCCAAUGCUGGUCAGUUGAGAUGUUUGGAGGAAUUGCUCAGCAACAGAGACCUGCUGGCAAAGUUAGUGGGGUACUCCACGUACUCCCACAGAGCCCUCCAAGGAACAAUAGCCCAAAGUCCAGAGACGGUCAUGCAGUUCCUUGAGAAGCUAUCAGAAAAACUUUCUGAAAGAACUAUAAGAGACUUUGAGAUGAUACGAGGGAUGAAAAUGAAACUAAAUCCUCAAAAUUCUGAAUUAAUGCCUUGGGAUCCCCCCUACUACAGCGGUGUGAUUCGUGCAGAGAGGUACAACAUCGAGCCCAGUUUGUAUUGUCCAUUUUUCUCCCUUGGAGCGUGCAUGGAAGGCCUCAACACUUUGUUUGGCAGACUGUUAGGGAUCACGUUGUAUGCCGAGCAGCCCGCGAAAGGAGAGGUGUGGUGCGAGGGCGUCCGCAAACUGGCUGUGGUUCAUGAAUCCGAAGGAUUGUUGGGGUACAUUUACUGUGAUUUUUUUCAGCGAGCGGGCAAGCCACAUCAGGACUGCCACUUUACAAUCCGUGGAGGCAGAUUAAAGGAAGACGGAGACUACCAGCUCCCAGUCGUAGUUCUUAUGCUGAAUCUUCCCCAUCCCUCAAGGAAUUUACCAACUUUAUUAACUCCUGGAAUGAUGGAAAAUCUUUUCCAUGAAAUGGGACAUGCCAUGCAUUCUAUGCUGGGACGAACUCGUUACCAACACGUCACUGGGACCAGGUGCCCCACUGACUUCGCUGAAGUUCCUUCUAUUCUGAUGGAGUACUUUGCAAAUGACCACCGAGUGGUUAGCCAGUUUGCCAGACAUUAUCAGACGGGGCAGUCACUGCCCAAAAAUAUGGUGUCUCGGCUUUGUGAGUCCAAAAAGGUGGGUGCUGCAGCCGAUAUGCAACUUCAGGUCUUUUAUGCCGCCCUGGAUCAGAUCUACCAUGGGAAGCACCCCCUGACGGCAUCGACCACAGACAUUCUCAGGGAAACCCAGGAGAAAUUUUAUGGCUUACCAUACGUUCCAAAUACCGAGGAGGAAUGGGUUUGGCAGGAGGGAUCAAGAACAUGGAAGUCUACAAAAGCCAUUAAUGUAGCACUGAGGAAUUUAUUCUGAAGAUACACAUAGAAAACCCAAUAAAGCUGGACACCUGAUAAUUAGCACAUCUACAAGAAAUUGGAGUCCAACAUUGGAGGAAAGGUUAAGCAAACCGUGUUGUACCCUGUGCUUGUCAUUAGGCCUGCCCACUUAGCACUGCGCUAUCUCUGACAUGCGGUAGAAUUGCACAUCUUUGCUCUGUGCGGUUAGUUGUGGCCACGUGACUUGAUCUGGCCAAAGAAAUCGGGCAGAAGUGAUGGGGCUCAUUGCUGGGCUGCAGCAGUUAAGAGCCACUGCACACUUGUCCACAUUUCCUCCCUGUUGGCCCAGCAACCAAUGACCUUCCGGGUGGUGGAGACUCAGAAAGCCUGGAUGCCUAAGUGCUGCUGACGUGAGAGGAGUCCGCUCACCCGAGAGAGAUGUGUCGUCUGCUCAAGGAACAGAUCUUUGCUGUUGGAAGCCACUGAGACGAGCCCAGCUGAGAUGAAGGAGCAGGGCUGAGCCUGGAUUAGGUUCAGAAGAGAAGCUCCUUCUCCCCAUGGCUUGAGUUCUGGAUAUAAAAUUCACCACACCUGAGCCUGAAUACUUUCCCUCCCUUCUUCGAGAGAUCUUGGAGGUUGGGAAUGCAGACUCUCUUGUCCCGGAAAAGGUACAUUCUAAAAGAGAUGACUUUCGAGGUGAUGCCCAGCGUCUUCACAGCACCGAGCAGUUUUUCACUGCAGGGUACUGUGCGAAAGUACCAUGGCAGAGAACGUAAAAGAGAGAGAAAGUGUGUUCUUCACCUGGACAAAAGUUACACGGACGUUAAUAAAUGAAAAUGAAUGGAUUUCUUUGCAACCAAGUCUGUAAUGUGAUUCUCUUACUUUCCCAGAUCACCUUCAAGUCCCAGGUGUCUUUACUAGGAUUAAAUUCAAUCCUCGAUAAAACGUAGUUUAGACUUGGCUCAUUCUUGUUCAUCAUCUUCCAAGGGCCUUUCUUGCUGUGUGCCAGGCACAAUGUGUUGAUCCUACGUGCAGAGCAGACAGUAGGCUGGACUCCUAUCUACGUGCCAAACUGAGGCCUCCCCCCGCGCCCGCCCCUUGUGUUUUCCCAGGCUCCGUCUGGUAUUCACCCUUUCCCCUCUUGCUCUGAGACUGUGCCCCAGAACCCUAACUCCUAUCCCUAGCUCUUGUUCAAGGUUCUGAACCCAGUUUUCAAUAUAGUAGAAGAACUACAGCUAACUAUGGAUGCAUAUGUCUUGUCCAUUUGACUAUUGUAGCCUUAAAAUAAAUCCCUAAGGGUGAAAUUGCGUAACUAGAAGAUACGUGUAGAGUUUAUGUUCUGGUACACGUCGCAAAGUUAAAAUCCAGAUGGCUUUUCCUUGAUGACCCCAGUUAUGGAUUUGAUUUUAAUUUUUGCCAAUCUGAUAGACCACACAUACUUUAAUUUAUUUUUGCUUGCAAUUCUUUUAUUACUGGUGAAACCAACAGCUUCCCCUAUGGUGUCUUACCAUCCAGUAGGAAUUGAAUUUUGUCUAUUUUUGUCAUUUUCCCGUCUUUACGUUCAUCUUUUUGUUACUCGUUUUCAUAGGGGCGUCAGCCUUUUAGUCUUUUUGUCAUAAUUUUGUCCUCCCAUUUUGUUAUUUAUCUUUCAGCUUCUUUUAUGAUUUUUUUUUUAACACUUAGAAGGUUUCAUGUUUGUUACUUAGCUUGAUGGCAAUAAAUGUUGUUUUGAGUUAAAUCUUUUAGACUUUUCUUUCAGUUUUUUGUCAGCCUUCAAGAGAGCUUUCUGGCCUAACUGCAUUCAACUUUCUGUCCACAUUUUCUUCUCAUACUCUUGUGGUUUUAUUUUUCAUCUUUCAGUCUUUGUUUAAGUUUGUGGCAGUGUUAAGGGAUGAGAUUGGAACUGGCUUUCGUUUCUCUAGUUGGUUUUUGAAUAACCCGUUUUCCCCUACUGACUUGAAAAGAUGCCCUCUGUGAGAUGUGAAGUUUUCCUGCAUGACAAGGUUUGUUUCUAGGCUUUCCAUUUCAGGGGUUCUUGCCCAGACUGGAUAAUCAUUUGUGGAAGUUUGGGUGUUUGUUGUUGGUUGUUUAUUAAUAGAGAUGCCUUUGUUCCUCUAUUUACGUCAUCUACCUAUUCCCGUCACCAUGUUGCACAUUUAUAACAUUCUUACUGGAAGGUCCCUUCUGUAUCUUAUUACAUGAAUUCCUGUUUUAAGAUUUUUUUUUCUGUUGUGAAUGGAUAUUAUAUAUCCCCCAGCACCUUUUUCCAGCUAGUCUCCAUUGGUACAUAGAAGUUAUUUAUUUUCGUUUUUUACUUUUGUGGCUGACAGUCUUGAUGAGCAACUGACUGUUUUCAAUACUUAUUUACCAGGUUUUAGGGAUUUUCCAGAUAUGUUUCUAUAUAUGUUUAUCUAUUUAUCUACAUCUAUAUAGACAUAGACAGAUAUACACAUAGAUACAUAUUUAUAUAGAUACAUAUCCCACAGCACAUGUAAGUAAUAUUUUUGCCACCCCUUUCCAAUUUUUAUGCGUCCGUGUGUCCUUGACUGGUGCUGAACUUUCAAAAUAAUGCUGAAUAAUAAUAGGGAAGUUGAGCAUACUUGUUUGGUUUAUGGUUUUAACGGAAUGUUUUAGGUUUCACCUGUGAUUUGAAAGAGGCCCAGAGCGUGUGAGGGCCAGAGAAAAGAAUACUCCAGGAUAGUCACAUCUUCAGAUUACAAAGGUGGGAGUGAGAAGGUUCCGUGAGGAAGUAGGAGGUCCGCAGCUGAGGUUCUGUGUAGGGGAAGGAGUCUGAGUGAAGGCGUCUCCCCCGUGGAGGGCCAGGUUGACUCUGCCUGGGAGACGGUGCAGGAAUAAGGUGGGUGCGAGGCUUCAGGAUCAGAUGGCCUAGAGCCAGGCUUAAGCAUCAGAUCUUCAUCUGUAAGAUGGUGAUAUCGAACCCACUAUGGUUAUCGUAAGAGUGAGAGAAUAUUUGUCAAAAGCACUUAGCCCAAUGCCCGGCACAUAGUAAAUGCAAAACAGAUGUUAAACAUUAUUAGUAUUGUGAGUGUAGUAAGUGAUCACUGAAAGGGGACAUUUUUUAAAAUUUGGAUGUAGUUGACACAGAAUGUUACGUUAGUUUCGGGUAUACGACAACACAGUGAUUUGACGCGUUUGUACGUGACCCUGUUCUCAUCACAAGUGUAGCUCCUGUCACCAUAUGACACUACGACAGUACCAUCGACCGCGUUCCCUGCGUUGGCUUUUUUAUUCAAAAGGAGGGAUUUAAAUGAUCAAAAAUGGCAUUUGAGGAAGAAAAUCGCAUCACUUGCAUGUAGGAUGGGUAACAGAUAAAAAUAGAUGGGAAUCUCGUGUGUGGGCCACCUUCUUUUGUCAGUGACUUUUGAGGGUGAUCCCUAUUCCCGAAAGACAGCCGGAGGCCCCCCGAGGUAAGGCGCGGCUGGCUGCUUGAGUAGCGCUAUGGUGGCUUUGCGCCCUUCUAGCUGCUCUCCAUGCCCAUAUGUGGUUAUUGACGUGUGAGAAUAGCUUAUCUUGGUGUCUUUUCCACCUCUUUAUGUAUUUAAUAAUGACAGAAGCGAGGACCCAGCUCGUUGGCUCGCUUUAAUAUGUGUUAUUUUCAGAUCCUUAACUUACUGACGGUGUAGUCAUUCUUUUUACACGUGUAUAUUUUUAUGUGUCUCGGGGAGGCUUUGAAAUACUUGCUGAUUUAUGGAGAGUGAAACCUCAACCAAACUUUCUCGGCACACUUAGGAAAACUCAGACUCUUAAAAGCUAAAAUCAAACAAUAUUUGAGAUGAUUUAUACAAUUUCAGCAAUAACUUUUUUCCACUUAAGCCCAAGUACAGUCUAAACAACCCUUCCCCACUGCUAAGUCCUUUAAACGGAGCGGUGGAGGUCUAUAAAUCAAACGGUAGUUUACAUUUGUUUCACAACCACUUUUUGCAACCUGUUUUCCCUCUUAAAACUUAGUAUAUUCUCCGAAAUGUUCAGCCAGUCCUAUGUUGAGAUUAAAUUAAAGUGAACAAAGAAAUAUACAAAAAGAUUUUGGAGAAUAAUAGAUGGCCACAGUUUAGAAAGGCACAGUAUUGCAAAUGAGUAGAGUAAUGCUAGACGCUGCUGAGCUGGCUCGUUUUAAAUAAGAGAAUUCAGCCGUGAGCGGGUUUGUCUCCAUCGUGAGGAAUCAGCACAGUCACCGUGGUGGAGUUAUCUCAGAUUAGUCUGCUGGUACCGAUCCCAAGAAUCCACAGGGCACUUUAAUCCUAAUUAUGUUUAAUAACCUCUUAUUUUGAAUUAAAACUUCAUAAUAUUCAUUCCACAUAUUCGUGAGUGGCAAACAUAGUUCUCAUGUGCCCUCCAGCCAGCUUCCCCAGGGACGGUAUCCCCCAUAACCAGAGUGCACACGGUUGGAUCCAAGAAACGAGUACUGACACCGUGCUGUUUAUUCCGUGUCGUGAAUUACUUCGACAUCCUGUAUUUGCUCGUGAUGAGUACCUCUGAAGCUUAUUGUCUUUUCUUUCUCAGGGUGGGACAUCUCAGAGUGGUUAGCUAAAAGCAGUUCAUAAUUUUAAUCUACAGCCUACGACUCCUUUUGUUCUGUGUAGAUGAUAAGCAGAGUUCACGAGCUCCGUGAACACAGGACUGAUAGAAGCAGAGUCAGUAGAGACUGGCACAUCAUUUGAGAGCCUGCGUCCUGAUUACACAUAAUGUUAGAAAACACAUCAAAGUGCUAAGUGCAGAGAGGCACAGAGGUGAUUUAUCUCUUCAUAAACUACUUCCCUGCAGGUAAAAUCUAGCAUAGGCUGUGAAAGCACCCAUCUUAAGCUUUCUCAUCUGCUGGCGUAUCCUUGGCUUCUCUCUCUGCUUAGAGUAGUGCUGGUUUCCUUACCUGCGUCCUUGAACCAUUAACGUGUUGACUUUCAAGCAUUUUGACCAAGCCCACAGGAAGGAAUGCAUUGUAUUAUGAUGAUGAUACAAAUAUAUGUAUGUACGUUUAGGGGUGUGUGUGUGUAAAAGUGAAGCAAAGUACCACGGACUAAAAGUUAUCCUAACUAUGUGCAUGGUGGUCCAGUAUUUUCUGUUCUGCAUUUUCACUUUUUAAAUACUGGUCACAACCUACUCUGUUGGUUUCACAAACCACUAGUAGAUAAGGGCCCCACAGUUUGAGAAACACCACGUUCAUUUAUCUUGCCCCCCCCUUUUUUGCCUCUUCUACCCUCCUUUUCCAAAUCAACCAUAAAACCUUUCUUAGCAAGAGAGAUUUUGCAACUAAAUUACUGAGAAAUAAAACUACAGCUCCUAUUUAAUCCCAACAGUAUCAUCUCUCCUCACGGGGGUUAAUUCAUUUGACAGACAUCGUCUUUGGGGAAGAAGGGUAUGUAUAAAUAAGCUAGUGUGAAAAAUGAUGCAUUGUGAUGCUGUGAGAACUCUGUUACAGACACAGAGGUGUUUAAUCGUGCCUCCUGGCGUCAGAAAUGGCAUUUUAUCUCUGCUUAGUUCACUCCAAGUCAGGUUCUACCUCAGGUUAAAGCAGUGUAGCGGGGAGGGAGAGGGGGACAGGGGAAGCAUGAUGGGGACAGAGGAUGGUGAGGGAAUAUGCUUGUCUCGGGUUGCCUGACGACAGGCAUGGGAGGCAUGGGAGCAGGGGCUGGGGGCUGGGUGUUGAAAAUGAAACUAGGAUCAAACACUAAGGAGUCCUGUGUGUCUGCACCGAGGCUUAUACAUGAUCCUGGAGGGAAAGGGGAGACCCUGGAGGUUUGAAGUUUGUAAGCAGAGUAGUGACACAGGCAGGGAUCAGCUAUAGGGGAGAGUGAAGGUUUCAGUAUCGAGCGUGGGUUGGAGGGCAGAAACAUUGAAGGCAGGGGUAGUAAUAGAUGCGAACAAAUACAAAACAUAUCGUGGAUUUUACCAGAUACUGAAAAACAUGCAUUUUUAUUUGUAAAAAUGAUCUCCUUGAUCAUUUCGAUAACAUUUCACUGUCUCCUGCCUCAGCAGUGCAUUCACAGAUCUUUUCAUUAAUAUCUUUUACCCAGCAUUUUAGUUGUUUCAUUUGGGACCGUUACUUGAAGUAUCAAACUGAAGCCCCUCUGUCCGGCUUCUCCCUUCCUUCCUUCCUUCCUUCAGUUAUUCCUAUUCAGCGUUUGCUCUGUGUUCCAUUCUGGGAGAUUACUUUGCAGUUUUUUUUCCUUGCUACCUUUUUCACUACUGUUAUUUUAGUGUUAGCUUUGUUUUUUGCUUUUCACAAUUAGGGUUUUAUUCCCAGUAGCUGCUGCUGCUUUUUCAUAGCACCUUGAUCUUGUUUAACAAAUGUGAUUCUUUUUGUCAGUGUAUGUAUAUGUGUAUGUACACACACGUGCACAUAGCUCCUGCCUUAAAGGUCUUACAGAAUAGGCAGAAGAUGAUAAAGGUCUAAAUCCAGGCAUUGAUGUUAGACAUCUGCAUAAGGGAAGAAAUACAAGAAAUCUAUUGAGAUACAAAUUUUCAGGACCUGAGGGUAUAUCGAAGGUAACGGGAGAUGAGGAAUCACGAGGCAGAGCUGAUCCUCAACCAGAACAAAAGCAUCUAGGAAAAACCCACAGUUCACAGUCAGUGCUGAAAGUCUGAAAGCUUUCUCCUAAGACAGGAACAGGACAGUACUGGCUGCCAUCACCACUUCUAUUGAAUGUUAUACUAGAGGUUUUGGCCAGAGCAGUUAGGCAAGAAGAAGGAAUAAAAGGCAUUCGGGCUGGAAAGGAGGAAAUAAAAUUACUUCUGUUGCAAAUGACAUGAGCUUGUAUGUAGAAAAUCCCAAGGAAUCCAUAAAAAACUAUUCGAGCGAAUAAACAGGUUCAACAAGGUUGCAGGAUAGAAGAGUAAUAAUGAAACUCAACUGUAUUUCUAUACUCUAGCAACAGACAGUCCAAAAUUAAAUGAAGAAAAGAAUUCCAUUUGUAAUAGCAUCGAAAAGAAUAAAGAACUCAGGAGUGAACUUAACAAAAAUGUUCAACAUUUGUGUACUGUAAACCGUAAAACAUUAUUGAAAGAAGUUAAAGAAGCCCAAAAGAAAUGGAAAGACGUCUCCCAUUCAUGGACUGGAAGACUCAUCAUGAACGCAGUAAUCCCCAAAUUGGUCUACAGAUUCAAAACAAUCGUGAAAUCUCAACUGCCUCUUUUUUUUUUUUUUGGUGCCAAGACUGAAAGCUGGUAAAAAAAAAAAAAAAUCAUACUGAAAUGCAGAGGAUCCAGAAGAGCCAAAACGAUCUUGAAAAAGAAGAGAAAAGUCAGAGGGCUCACCCUUCCCAGUUUCCAAACUUGCUACAAAAUCUGCAGUUAUCAAGGCUGUAGAAUUCCAGGAGUGACCUCGCCCGACCGGCCGCGUAAGAGACAAAUCUCAGCAAUUAGAUAGCUGCCCACAAACACAAACGGACCUGGGAAAGGCUUGGAGUCCACUUAAGAAUGUUUGGCAACGCAGUGGAACAAAAGGGCCCUGAGAAGAAUCGCCUCCGAAGAGAAGGAAGACGGCUUGGCUUUGCGGGCAUCGCUCAGCGCCCGCGGGGAGCUCCCCAGCCACACUCGAGAAGCAAGAGCUGUGUGAACGGCCCGCUUCCUCCGCCUCGAGGGGCACCACACGAGGGUCACGCGUCAGGUGCGCCCCACCUACGCUGGCAAAACCGAGGCGUGUAGAAACAGCAAGGCCCGAGGAAGGACAACGGGCUACCGACAGCAGCCAGGCGGUCGGAGCGAUGGUGGGUAACCGUGACCUUCCCUGCAGACAGAUCCAGCAUAUUCUGCCACCAAGACAGGGCCCAGACGUGGGCCCCCUGCAGAUGUCACCAGCGUUUGCCCCACGGGUGUUCGUGUCUGUGGACACCAGCCGCCCGAAUCUCCCCGCUCCCUUCCCUCCCCGACUGGAGCCCUAGAACUCCACCAGCCUGGGCCUCGGAGGCUACGUGAGGGCAGCACGCCAGCCCCGACCCUCGCCGCCGACCUCCACGGCUGUGUGCGGCACCCGUCGCCAGCCUCCGCUGUGCGCACCUGCCUGGGGUGAGACAUCCAGGCCUCCGCAGCUACCGCAGGCCUAGACCGGGCCCUGUCUUUUGUCACCGGCCUCGCGAUCGAUCGUGCUCACCUGCAGGUCGCCGCCCCUGCAGGGCCGCCAGCUGCGUGCCCCGGGCCCCCGUGACCAGUCUCCACUGCGGUGCACGUGCCCGGGGAGAGACCGGCCGGCCGGGGGCAGCAUGCCAGCGGCCAGGGCCCCCACAGCUGCCCGUGAGCCCAGAGCCGGCCCCAACCCUUCUGCCUGCCCUGCCGCCUGCUGCUACACGUGUCCGCGUCCGGCCCUCGCGACCACACUGGCACCUGCGGCUGCUCCCUGUGACCUGGAGUUCACGCCACCGGGUCGGGCCACCGCUGCCCCCGGCUUUGGUGCCUAGCCAGUGUGGAUCUGGAAGCACCACUGAGGACCCUGAGGGCCCCGCAGCCACCUCAGACCCUCCCGCCUCCCACCCUGCCACACCUGGUGGACCGCCUCAGUCAGGACUGGCGCCUCUCCAAAGUGACCUCUGCCCUGGGGAGGGGGAGCCCUCCCCCCAGCCUGCCCACCGGCACAGCCACAGCCGUUGCGGCCGGGCCUCUCAGCCGGCUGCACCAGGGGCUGGCCCCUCUUGCCAGCGUGCCCACAGCAGCUGUGGCCGGGGCUCUGAGCCAGCCUUGCUGGGGGCCGGCCCGGCCCACCAGUGCUCCUUCCGUAACCAUGGCCUGUCGCUGCCAACAGAUGGGCUGGGGUAGAACCGGAACAAAUAAUCCUAUUAAUUUGUAUGAAACCACAAAAGAGCCUGGAUGGCCAGAGCAGUCUUGAGAAAGAAGAACAGAGCUAGAGGUAUCAGCUUCCAGAUUUCAAGCUACAAAGCCGUGGCGAUCAAACGGUUGGUACUGGUCCCGAAAAAAGACACAAAGAUCAAUGGAUCAGAACAUAAAGAAUAUAUGGCCAUGUAACUAUGAUGAAAAAAGAAUACACAAUGGGAAAAAGACAAUCUUCAGUAAAUGGUGUUGGAAAAACUGGA